AUUAAUUUAAUGGCUGCAGUAUUUUAACUGUACAAAGGUAGCAUAAUAAUUAGUUCCUUAAUUAGGGACUGGAAUGAAGGAUUGAACGAGAUAAAAAUUGUCUCUUUUUAAAUUUUAUAAUUUUAUUUUUAAGUUAAAAAGCUUAAAUAUUAUUAAAAGACGAGAAGACCCUAUAGAGUUUUAUAAUUAUAAUAUAAAUAAGUUUUAGUAAUAAAAUUUUAUUUAUACAAUGAUUAUUUGAUUGGGGUGAUUUUAAAAUUUAAAAAACUUUAAUAUAAUUUACAUUAGUAUAUGAAUAAUUGAUCCAUAUUUUAUGAUUAAAAGAUUAAAUUACCUUAGGGAUAACAGCGUAAUUUUUUUUAAGAGUUCUAAUCGAAAAAAAAGAUUGCGACCUCGAUGUUGGAUUAAAAUAAAUUUUUGGUGUAGAAGCUAAAAUAUUAGGUCUGUUCGACCUUUAAAAUUUUACAUGAUCUGAGUUUAAAUCGGCGUGAGCCAGGUUGGUUUCUAUCUUUAAUUAAAUAGAAUAUUUUAGUACGAAAGGACCAUAUAUUCAUAAAGUUUAUUUAUUUAUGAUUAAUAUUA
rnacentral:rRNA from 2 species